rnacentral:tRNA from 1 species
GGGCUUGUGGCAGACUGGAAUGCACCCGACUUUUAAUCGGAGCAAAUGAGAGUUCGAUUCUCUCCGGGCCCA